UAUAUGGUUUUAUUUUUUUGAGAUUUAUGGGUGGUGCGAGUUCUCAUGUUCUUGAUAACUUCAGCGACCUCAAGGUUUUAUGUCCAUCUAUUUAUACUUCAACGUCUCCUCCGUUAACGAUAUCUCCUACUUUCUUAAAAUUAAUAGACUUUUCCUCUUCUAUUUCUCUACUCUCACAUGGCGAGACACACAACCAUCAAGAUUCAAGAAAGAGAGCUUUUUGUCCCUCACGUUCGAUUAAAGAUGAUGGACGAUGCUUUAAUCACUCUUCGUCAGUCUUUCAACGUUCCUGGCAAGAUACGAUUGUAGGCUCCGACAGCUAUCAAAUCCUUGGAGCGGGCAAAGCCUAGGUUUCUGUGCGAACACUCGAUUUUCUUCAAAACUUGCGGGCUGGUUUCCCAUUAUGUCACUUUUGCCCGAAGUCGUAUGCUGACUGAGGAUAGAUUUUUUCCAAAUAACCCCAAAUUUGGUAUGCCACAUCAUGGGCCUGCUGGUGCUUUCCCGAGAAGUGGGGAGGGGGGAGGUUCUGUUGAUUGUUUUUAACGUGAUCAAUAUUUGUUCUACCAAGAGGAAUAUUGGGUUCGAGGGUAGUUUCUGUUUCGAUCCUCACACGAACUGUAAAAUCCUCACAGAGAUUCCGCGUAGAGAUGAAUGGAGAAAAUAAUAUUUUUUUUCUUUGAAGUGAAUGAAGUUUCGAUAAGAAAUUUCAACCCUAGCCAUCGUUCUCUAUUUGAAUGUUGAUUGCAGAUAUUUUAAGAUCAGAGCCUUAUCUGAUUGCCUCCGUGCUUUGGUUUGUAAUUUGCGCGGGGGAGUUGUCGAUUGGCCUUCUUUUAGCGGGCGAGAGUGUUUGAUGUGCUAGACAUUUUUGAGUCUGUAAGUUUUCUUCUUUACUAGGAGACAAGAGGAAUCAUCUGACCUGGAAGCCGGAACCUGAAAGCUGGAACCCAUAACAAAGAGAUCGGCGUCCUGCUCUAACAUGAAGGUUCUUGCUCUUGAAUUAAUUUUCCCUAACAGUAUGUAUACAUUUAAGUCAGGAAAUGGGUUGCCAUACAUAUACUCAAGGCUAAAGAAGAUGUUAUCUACACAAAUCCGAGUAUCACAAAACUCAAAGCCUUUGCUUGGCACUUGGAAGGUAAAUGCUCCUAAAAAAAUCUGUUAUUUAUUUAAUCACAUGACAUGUAGUAGUGACAAGGAAUUUGAAUCGUCUCCAAAUGUGACGUGAUGAUAUUUGUCCAAGAUAUAGAGAACUUUAUUAGUAUGUAAAUCAUGUUAUUUUUGAAUGUCCACUUAAGCAUGGUCUCUUGCCGCUACACCCUCUCAUCCAAAUAUGUCUCAUGUGCCCAUGAUAUACACUAACAUGGAUUAUCUUUUUUCGUAGGAAGAAAAAUAUUGAAGACUUGUAAAUGGAGAUAGACUUUUAUCCAUGGAUAAUUUGACUUUCGAUUUAGACACAUAUCAAAAGGUCAGAGAGAGAGAGAGAGAGACGUUGCUUGGAGAUGGCAAGAGGAAGAAGAGGAGACAACAGAAGAAGAAGCGGAGUGGUGUCGGAGAUGACGAAAGAAGAAGCGGACUUGUUCGUCCCCGCUCCACCCUCACUUCUCUCUCUCAAUUUCUCAAAACCAGAGCCUCUUCUUCUCUCAAUUUCUCAAAACCAGAGCCUCUUCUUCUCUUACACCAAAUCGUGCUUUCUAACCCCUCAGGUUUGUCUCCGAUCUCGAAUCUUCCUCACAAACUUUAGCUAUAACCCUAGUUUUUGAACGUCUGAUUGCUGACAUCACCAUUGGUGGAGGCUGUUAGAAAUGCUUCCUGGUAUAUGAUAAGAAUUAUGUGUUUGCUUUGUUGAAUAAGAAGAAGAAGAAGAUCCUCAAGGUAUGAACCACUUCUCAUCACUUGAUUACACUUUAUUCACUGUCUUUUAUGGUUAACAACUAGAGUUGAACAUAAAGGUCUGAAAUUUGGAUGGAGUCUGUUUUGGCGCAAAACAUUCUCGGGGCUGAAGGUCCAUGGUUUGGAAACUUUAUCUACGCGAGUAUACAUAAUUCACUGGUACUGAUAGAUUAGACACAAGUCUCUUAACAGGUUGUUCUUGAUUAAUUUUACAUGGACUCUGCAGAAUGCUACUAUGGUCUUCUUCUGUGAGAUGAUAUAGACAAACUUCCACUAGUUGUUGUAUUGUUGCGUCGAAUAUUGUGUUAGAAACAUCUAUUUUUUUUCUCUGGUAAUCUUCUUUGUCAAACAUCUUCUUCCUUCUUGGUGUUUGAUUCUAAUCAUUGCUCCUGUUUGUCCUGUUUUAGACAGAGAAAAAACAGUUCCACUGUGAUGACUGGAAUUUGCAGGAAGAGGGAGUACCCAUGUCUCAUCCUGACUAAUCUCUUCCAACGCACUGCUCUAUUAAUCAGGUUCUUCAAGUUAUAAGAGGCUAUACUUUGUCGUUAUCGCUUGGAAGAAUUGUCUUGAGUAAAAUGGAGUCGAAAUCAAGCUUUAGCAAGGAGUGAAUGUCUUCCUUACAGUCCCGAUUCUUAUGAAAAGAAGAGGUAGUUUGUUGGCAUCAACAACCGAAGUCUUGGUAAUUAAGCUUUUUGUAGAUGUCACUAGUUUAGAUAUCUCUUGUCUAAGAAACUGAAAGUUUCCGUGUGUCAGAAAGCUUGUAAAUUUCAUGUUUGUUACUCACACUUGUGAUAAUAAACAAUUAUUUUAUGAAUA